rnacentral:lncRNA from 1 species
CCUGGAUCACGUGUCCAUCCUCGGGACCCAGGGGUGGGGUUUUCCCGCGCAAUUUACUUGGACCCGGCGAGGAGAGCGUUCCGCACCAGAAAAUCUGGGUGCUGGCCCCGCAAGACGGGACCCAAAGGACUGCUGAGCUGUCAGUGCUGCUGGGGGAGCCCCACUCUCUGCAAGACGAGCAGAGGGGGAGCCCAAGGCCCACGGGCAUGCGUGGCACAGAGUCAGGGCUCAGAUGGGGCAAGGACCUGAGACAUCCCGGUACAUUCCAGAACUUUCCAGAGCGUCCUCCAUCUCCCAGUUCCUGAGACAAAGAUGCUUGCGGAGGGAGAGCAGAUGGAUACGUGGUUGUGGCUGGGGGCUGACACCUCAGGAGGCGGUUGUCCCCCCAGGAGGAGUGUUGCUGGAGUCGUGUAGCUGAGCACUGAAACCACAGCAAGAGGAACCGUGAUGGGGUCAACAGGUGGGGGGGGGGGGUCAUCUCUAGAACGGAAGCCCCAGGAGGGCAGGGCUGUUCAGCUGUUUUGACUGCUGUAGUCCACAAGCCUUGAGCCACACGCUUGGUUGCCUGUAGGUGCUCUGCGAACACCUGUGUAGCAGGUGUGUUGGGUAGACUUGAUGUGCGCCUGGGUUCUGAGAGCCUGAGCACAGUGGAUGCGGGAGAAAGCCAGCUGUUGGUUUACACGGUGGCCCCCUGCCAUCCGAUCACCUAGCGAGUCUUUCCCAGCCACCAGGGCGGCUGUGGUCGGACAGCCCAGCAUCCAUUCCCUUUUUUUUCUGGGGAUGGCACCCUCGUGUCGUUUUAAGGGGCCUCUUUGCCCACUGAACUCCAUCUCGAUGGAUGUCGUGCAUCCUGCCUCCCGUCCCUAGAUCCAUGUGUGGCGGUCCUUACCCCCAGUUCUUCAGUGUGUGACCUUACUGGGACCUAGGGCCAUGUCGGACCUCAUUAAGCUGAGGUCAUACUGGGAGCUCCCUGGUGGUCCAGUGGUUAGAAUACAGCACUUUUACGGCUGUGGCCUGGAUGCAGUCCCUGUCUGGGAACUGAGAUCCUGCAUCAAGCUGCUGUCAUAAAAAGAGAGAAAGAGAGAUGAGGUUGCCCUGAAAUAGGAAGGCCCCUAUGCAGUGUAACCGGUGUCGCAGUAAAACAGGAGGAACUUGUACACAGACACGCACACACGGAAGGAUGCCGUGUAUCCUGCCACCGACCGAAAGAACCCUCCGAAUCUCCCUUGGAGUGCAGCCUGGAACAGGUCCUCCCCGAGCACCGGCGGGAAGGAGCACAGCCCUGCCUCAUCUUGGUCUUGGAUGUCCAGCCUGCCGAACGUGAGACAGUCCAUUCCUGGUGAAGCCACUCUGUUUGCAGUGCUUUUAGCGGCCAUCCUAGCGAAGCGCUACAGAGGGAGUGUCACUCCGACGCCCCACCUGCUCUGGCCAGGAGGGCGCCCGCCCCUGCAGAAGCCCCUCGCUGGAAUGUGCAUCCCAGGGCCUCAGUGAGCACCCCGCCCAUCCUCCACCAGCUGGGUGAUCUUCUUGUGGGGAACUCCUUUCUGCCUCCCCUUCAGCUCUGAGCUCCCCCCAGAAUUCCUGAUACGAAUUCCAAAUUGUUUUCUCUUGCUGUCAACCAGAUGUUCCUGCUUGAAGCCAGAACCAAGAGCCACCCCUUUAAGGCAGGUCUCCAGGCGGGGAGGGGGCAUCUCCCCACCCCACCGGGGGCCUGGCUUGCUCCCUCGCGCCCAGACCACCCGCACCACACAGUUGUUCAGCUGAUGUAGACCUGGGGCUUGGCGCAGGGAUGCAGCGGUGAAUGAGGCCGCAGGAAAGAAGAUGAUUUAAGGACUCUGGGCUCAGCGGGGGAGGGGGGACGUGACAGAAGGGAAGGGGCCCUGUAGGAGCACAGAUGUGGGACACGGAACUCGGCGUGGGUGGGGUGGGUAAUCAGCCACGAGGCGGGGGCAGGGCUGCCGGGAGCAGGUGGGAGGGAGCCGGGGUGACCAACCUCCCCGCUUGCCUGGGACUGUCCUGAUUUUAGCAUCGAGCGUCCCUGCUCCUAGGAACCCCGUGUCUGGAGUGGAGAGCAGGGCAGGGGGUGGGGAGAAGUGAGGGGGCAGUGUCACCAGGGGUCCUUCUGCCAGGGAAGAGCGGGCAGAUCUUAGAGCUCAGAGGAAGGGAGGACUUUGGAGAGUCUCCUGCAGGAACAUGAUGUGACAAAGUCCGUCCCUUCUCCGAGGACUCUGUCUGCUGUGAAGUGUGGAGUAAGGGUGGGGGGCGGGAGGCCAUGGCAGGUUAAGCCCCGAGUGGUCAGGGGGGCGAUUUGGGCCGUGAUUCUGAGCCUUUCUGGGCGGGUCGGGGUGGUGGCGACAGACCCACCCCGAGACCCUGAUGAGAGCCGGGGACACUCUCCUCCAAUAGAUCCCCUAUGGCCCCCACAUGCCUCGAUUUCCUCCACGCAGAUGCUGCCGUGGGCAUUUCGGGGGCUUUUGUGAACCCCUGAGAUCCAUCCAUUCCUCUCCUCCUGCCCACCUCCAGCCCAGCUCCUUCAGUCUCCUGCCUCUCCAGUAAAGCCCCCUUUGCUGAAGCUGAUUGCCAGGUCAGUUUUGCUCAAGUCAGUUUAUACCAUAGCAGGUAGGUAGCGACCCCAGGUUCAGACAUGGGUCAGUCUGAAGCCCAGUGUAUUGCAUUUUUUCCUGUCUUGAUGCCUGUGACACGUGUGUGUGAGAGAGAGAGGGAGGGAGAGAAAGGGAGCAAGCGGGAGCUGUUCGACACCCCCCUUUUGAUGUGACGAUAACAUUGCCGAUGAAGGAACAGCCUGCGCUGGACUGAAAUACAAAUGUGUGAGCAUUUUGUUCGAUUCCAGAAGCUCUGCUGAGGCCCUGAUGGGUUGGGAUGGAUUCUCGGGGCCCCUGGACAGAUGGCCUCGCCCCUCGAAGGGAGAGUCACCGUCUCUGACUUGAGCACCAGCAUCCAGAGCCCGGGGAAGAAAUCACGUAUCAAAUGUGGUGUAUGUGAUGACACGGUCUCCAGGAAGCAGAGAGGGAACAGCUAAGAAGACAAGCAGGAAAUAACACGACCCGAGAAGAGCCAGGACUUCCCUGCUUUCUUUUCAACGUGCGGAGCGUUGAUUAUUGAUGGAGCUUGAAGGGGUCUGGUGGAAAGGAGACACAAGUGUUUGGGGCUUCUGGGAGGGUAGGUACCGUAGAGAUGCUGGAUGCUGGGCUGGGGUGGUUUCUGGGGGUCUUCAAACUAAUGUGAAGUAUAAAUCACACCAGUAGAGACCUCGUAAGGUCGGGCGUUAAAGCCCUUGGAAUUUUUACAGCCAGCAGCCGGCGGCCUGGCAUUGAGCAGCAAGGGGGCUCCCGCUGGACAGCAGAUGGGGCCUCUCUGUGCCAAAAUAGUGUCACUGCCUGCAGUGCAAACCCACAUGCUGGGAUGAGGCCUCGCUGGUCUGGCGCUGGGCCCUAGCCUUCGAGCCAAACCCCUGGCUGCCGUCCUGUGUCCUGGACUCUCUAGGGACCCUCGGGCUGGAGCUUCCCUGCCUGAGCAGGGUUCUUGGCUCAGAAGCUGGUCUGGCUGCCCCGCCGUGCUUCUUACCGCCAGCCGAGGGUGAGGUGGGAGGCGGAGGCAUGGAUCCAGCCCAAGUGGUAGCCGAGGACCCAGGCAGCACUCCUGGGUGUAGCCGAGGAGGAACUGGAACCUCAGCCACGGGUCAGAGAGGAGGGAGACCCCAGCUGAUCCAGCCGCAACUGAUCCAGCCUGGAACAGUCCUAGGGAAGGAACCGGCCCUGCUGGUGGAGGCUGCAGCGGGAGGGCGCAGCCAGGCGUCUUGGACAAGUGUCUGACCGCGCCGAGGUGCACCCUCCCCGUUCUUUUUUUUUUAAUUUUUUUUUAUAGUUGAUUUACGCUGUUCUGUCCAUUUCUGCCAUGCAGCAAGGUGACCCAGUUACGUGUACAUGUGUACCUUCUUCACCUCACAUGUUCCUCCAUCGUGUUCACCCCCUUUCUUAAUGCCACUCCCUCCCCGGGCCGUGAUGGGGACUAAACCGCGUACUCCUUUGCUCUGGCUGCCGUAACGGUGACGCAGACUGAGCGGCUGAAACAACAGAGCCGCCUUCACCCAGGCAGGAAGCCUGAGAUCAAGGGUCCGCCGGGUGGGACCCUUCUGCGGCCUCCCUCCUCGGCGUGCAGAGGGCUGGCUUCCGUGACCCCCCUGCUCCCCCCUCUCUCCUCUUAUAAGACCCCGACCACCGUGGAUUCAAAUCCACCCCAGUGACCGCAGUGCAGCCUCCUCCCCUCUUUAAAGACCCCGUCUCCAAAUCCAGUCCCAUGCUGAGAGACUGGAGUGCAGAUUUUAAGAGGAUACUGUUCAGCCCAUGACAACUGAGAUGCCGCAUGGAGACGCCAGACACGGCAAAGGUGGUUAAUCACAGCGGCGGCUGAGAAGGCAAAGCAGAGCCAGUGUUAAACACCCAGCCGAGCUCUGUGCCUUAGCCCUCUCCUCCCCCAGGAAGCCAUCCCGGGCUUCCGGCCUUGAUGCCGCCAGAGAGGGAGGGACUCAGCUCCUGGCCCGGGCACACCUGCGCUGCUGGCUCGGCUCCACUGAGCUGGAUUGUAGUCUUCCUGGAGCUGGGCUGCGCCUCCUUCCAUGUUUUGAUUCCAGUGGGUCAGGGGACACCCCCCAGGCACUCAGGACCGUCUGCUUGGGCAAAGGAACCACCCCUAAGGCCAGAAGCAGUUCUCUGGACACCACUGAGACCCAGAAGCAGGCUCCCUGCAGCCUGAGGGAUCAGAGGCGAGGUGCUGGGUUUCUGGUGAUUUGGCUUCAUCACAAGGGAAGGCAUGACUUAGCGGCAUCUCCUGGCCUUUUCUAGUCAUCUCCCGUUCUCCCUACAGGUUUUUUAAAUCUGCCUGGGCGUUCCCUUUGUGGCUCAGUGGUAACUAACCUGACUAGCAUCCAUGAGGAUGCAGGUUUAGUCCCUGGCCUCACUCAGUGGGUUAAGGGUCUGGUGUUGCCGUGAGCUGUGGUAUAGGUUGCAGAUGUGGCUUAGAUCUUGUUGCUGUGGCUGUGGUGUAGGCUGGCAGCUGCAGCUCUGAUUGGACCCCUACCCCGAGAACCUCCAUAAGCCGCAGUGCAGCCCGAAAAAGAAAAAAUCUGCCUGAACCCAAGACAGGUUUUUCCAUGCCCUUUUCUUCCCUGAAUUGUGACGUAUCCCAAUUGGAAAAUUGUCCCCAGAACCAUCAGCAAGUUGGUGAUAAUAUCUGCAGCAGAAACGCUGCCGCGGCUUUCUCAGUAACACUGCAAAGGUGAUUGGAGUAGCCGGUCCCCAGG